UGGGGAAUAUUGCACAAUGGGCGAAAGCCUGAUGCAGCAACGCCGCGUGAGUGAUGAAGGUCUUCGGAUUGUAAAGCUCUGUCUUUUGGGACGAUAAUGACGGUACCAAAGGAGGAAGCCACGGCUAACUACGUGCCAGCAGCCGCGGUAAUACGUAGGUGGCGAGCGUUGUCCGGAUUUACUGGGCGUAAAGGGUGCGUAGGCGGAUGUUUAAGUGAGAUGUGAAAUACCCGGGCUUAACUUGGGUGCUGCAUUUCAAACUGGAUAUCUAGAGUGCAGGAGAGGAGAAUGGAAUUCCUAGUGUAGCGGUGAAAUGCGUAGAGAUUAGGAAGAACACCAGUGGCGAAGGCGAUUCUCUGGACUGUAACUGACGCUGAGGCACGAAAGCGUGGGUAGCAAACAGGAUUAGAUACCCUGGUAGUCCACGCCGUAAACGAUGAGUACUAGGUGUAGGAGGUAUCGACCCCUUCUGUGCCGCAGUAAACACAUUAAGUACUCCGCCUGGGAAGUACGAUCGCAAGAUUAAAACUUAAAGUGAAUUGACGGGGUC
rnacentral:rRNA from 1 species